GGGAUUGUAGCUUAGUGUAAAGCACUUGCCUAGCAUAUGGGAGAUCCUGAGUUCAAUUCCCAGCACUCCAA
rnacentral:tRNA from 1 species